rnacentral:SRP_RNA from 1 species
GCCGAGCUUGGUAACGCUUGCUUGUGACCUCUGUGGGGGCUUUAAGGUGAUGGAACAUGGGGCUGGCUUGCAGAGUCGGAUCUGGAGUUGGUCCAAAUCUGGCUUGCCCGUUCCAAGCUAAGGGCUGAGCCGAGGGGCUUGAGUGAAAACUUCCGAGUCUCGUGGUCUCCUAAAGUGGAGGGUACUGCGUGAGGCUGGUUUCACAGAGCAGCGAAGACCUCCCUCUCUUAGCAGUGGAAGGAUAACAGGCUUGAUCCUCUCUAAUCCAACAUGGCUCAGUGAGCUGAUCCUAACUGGACCAUCAUCUUU